UACCGCGGUUAUACGAGAGGCCCAAGUUGAUGGGCUCCGGCGUAAAGCGUGGUUAAGGAGCAAAACAUACUAAAGCCGAACGCUUACUAGGCUGUUAUACGCUUACGAAAGUAAGAAGCACAUCCACGAAGGUGGCUUUAUUACACCUGAACCCACGAAAGCCAAGAUA
rnacentral:rRNA from 1 species